rnacentral:tRNA from 1 species
GGGGUUAUAGCUCAGAGGUAGAGUGCAUGCUUGGCAUGCACAAGGUCCUCGGUUCAAUCCCCAGUGCCUCUG